CUGCAAUGUGUCGCCCCAACAGAGCAUGCUCUACCCAGGAAGCAGUCAAGGUCUUCACAGCCUCUGGAAAAUGUAACCAACAUUGAUGAGACGCUCCCACAGAAGCACUGCUGAGGCAGCAUCCAGGAGUGGGUCGGAAGAGAGACUGUGAUGCUUUUGAAAACGCGGUGUCUCGGUGUCUGUUGUUUCUGUUAAUCCUGAAGAUGUUCACCCGUGAGACUGAAUCAGAAACUUGUCCCUGCCCUCACUCAGAGGAUGACUCAUACCGUGUGGGCGAGGUUUGGAGAUGGAAGCUGGCUGUGCUCUCUCUGUUGGUAACCAAGGCAAAGGCAUCUUGCUGAGAGAAUGCUUGCAAGUACAUAGAGAGCUAAUCCCACCGUCAGGCCUGUGAAUGUUGGUUACCCCUGUUGGUUAUCCUUUGCUUAAGUUUAAGUCACGGCAUCUUCAGAAUUACAUAGUUCCAAGAUACCAAGAUACUGUGUCUUCUGGUCCACAUUCCUUUGUCAUUGAACAGUUGCAUACACUGAACAGGCUUUGGGUAAAUGAGGGAAGGACAGGGGACCAAGAGAGAACUUGAGUGCUUGGGAAAUAGCAUUGAACAAUAAGUCAGAAGGUGAGGCCUCUAGAGAUGUACCUUUAAAUUCCAGAUUUCGGUUUCACUGUGUAGGCUUUGGCAGGUUGUCAAAGGCAUUUGAGUUUCCCUCAUUUCCAAUAUACCUUAAAGCAUCUCUUCAAUGGAGAACACCUAGCACAGAGUAUCCGGGUUGCUCUCAGUGAUUGGCAAGUGACAUCUUUUUCUACUAUGGUAAAUGCUCACCAGGAAAAAAAUGUUCUGAAGGUCCUGUCUUAACAGAGCAGAGCCAUGUGGGCACAAAAGGGGUCAGAGAAGGACAGAAAGGGCAGGAGAGACUGUCCAAGAGCACAUGGGAACACACACAGAGCGAGCGAGCGAGCGAGCGAGCGAGAGAGAGAGAGAGAGAGAGAGAGAUGGGGUGGUGACCAGUCCUUUUCUGUGCUAGGUCACCUGCACCCAGAAGUGGCAGAUAAUGGUGGCAGGUGAUGACUUAAGCUGUUGCUAGGUCC